UACAGAGGAUGCAAGCGUUAUCCGGAAUGAUUGGGCGUAAAGCGUCCGCAGGUGGCUGUGUAAGUCUGCUGUCAAAGAGCAAAGCUCAACUUUGUAAAGGCAGUGGAAACUACACGGCUAGAGUGCGUUCGGGGCAGAGGGAAUUCCUGGUGUAGCGGUGAAAUGCGUAGAGAUCAGGAAGAACAUCGGUGGCGAAGGCGCUCUGCUAGGCCGCAACUGACACUGAGGGACGAAAGCUAGGGGAGCGAAUGGG
rnacentral:rRNA from 1 species